rnacentral:rRNA from 1 species
UGUAUAGCUAAAGCUAGUUGUAUUAAAUAAAAAUUAAUGCAGCACCGACUACUUCGUAUAAAGUUCUAGAUAGAAUUAUGAUAAUGACAUUAUCUAUCUAUAUGUCUUGACCAAAAUGCGUGCCAGCAGUCGCGGCAAGACGUUAAAGACUAGUGUUAUUCAUCUUUAAUAGGUUUAAAGGGUACCUAGACGGUAAAUCAAGCCUUAACGGGGACUAAUUUACUAGAGUUUUAUGUAAGAGUGGAGUACUAUUGGUGUAGAGAUGAAAUUCUUUGAUACCGUUUUGGAACAGGUAAAGGCGAAAGCGACUCCUUAUGUAAUAACUGACGUUGAGGGACGAAGGCUUAGUCCGCUAAUGGGAUUAGAUACCCUAGUAGUCUAAGCAGUAAAUUAUGAAUGUCAUAGGUUAAAUAAGUCUAUAAAUGAAAGUGUAAGCAUUCCACCUUAAGAGUAAUAUGGCAACACAGGAACCGAAAUCAUUAGACCGUUUCUGAAACCAGUAGUGAAGUAUGUUGUUUAAUUAGAUAAUCCGCAAAAAACCUUACCACAAUUUGAAUAUUUUAUUAUUAUAAAAAUACAAGCGUUGCACGGCUGUCUUCAGUUAAUGUCGUGAGAUUAUGGUUAGUUCCAAUAAAUUAACGUAAACCCUUACUUUAUUUUUAUAUAAAGUAGUUCACCGCUAUAUUGGUGAGAUAAUAGGGAGUAAGAUAAGUCAUCAUGACCUGAAUAUUGUGGGCUAUAGACGUGCCACAUAGUCCUAUACAAAGGGAUGCCAAAUUG